GCACGAACCCAUCCUGCCAGGGACCAAAAGUUGCAUUUUUCGCAUCUGUUCCUGGUUAGGUCUAAUAAAUGUAUAUAAAUUUCCACUCGAUAAUUUCCAUCUACAAGACUUCAACUAACGAGUAACGUUAAUUAUGCAUGACGGCUGUAUAAGUUCAAGUGUAAUUUUUAGUGUUCAUAUUUUGCGAAUUUGUGAUGUAUUUAAUUUAGCCAUUAUGGGACAAUUCAUUUUAUUAAUGGAAAACGAGAACAUAUUAACUGAUUAAUAAUUGUGGAAUAUAGUUGUUAAAAAUGUACAAUACUAUAGAGGGCCGUAGGUAACCCCUAGUGACUGGGGGUGCGAAAAAUUUCCAAAUAGGUCUCCAAAUUUCCAAAUAACAUUUUUCCAAAUGCUUAUUGUGCGAAUGACUGUUCAAAAAUAUUAGUCUGUAUUUCCGAAUACAUA